rnacentral:misc_RNA from 1 species
GAUGAAGAACGCAGCGAAAUGCGAUAAGUAAUGUGAAUUGCAGAAUUCAGUGAAUCAUCGAAUCUUUGAACGCACAUUGCGCCCGCUGGUAUUCCGGCGGGCAUGCCUGUUCGAGCGUCAUUUCAACCCUCAAGCUCUCCGGAGUUUGGUGUUGGGGCGCCUGGGGCUUUUCGACCUCAGGGCCCUCAAGUCCAUCGGCGGGACCGCCAGGACACUGAGCGCAGUAGUUUUAUUUCGCUCGGUAGGAUCUUCCACGGCGGGUCGAUCUGGCCGCUAAACCCCCCAAUUCUCACCAAAGGUUGACCUCGGAUCAGGUAGGAAUACCCGCUGAACUUAAGCAUAUCAAUAAGCGGAGGA